GAGAAGUUGGCUCAAAAGUCAGUGGGGGCUAUUGAUUUAGUUGCACACCAGCUGUUUGAUCAAAUGUGUUUAAGAGGAAGAAGAGAUAAUCAGCAGAAGAUCGUGAGUAAAAUGCUAAAGACAUGGAAAUUUAAGUUCAAAAGAAAGGAGUUGACUGAAACCAGGCCACAACUUGACCAUAAUAAUCAAGGGUCACAUGCGAACAUUGGAGAAUGCAAAAGGUGUUGAUGGGAAAGGGACUCUCGGGUUUAUCUCUUUGUGUUAGAGUGUGGGAACAGGGUGGUGUCUUCGUUAAGCUAGCUAAGUGGAAUAGAUUGGAGACUUGUCAUGUAUAUGGUUGGCUGAUG
rnacentral:lncRNA from 1 species